GACGAACGCUGGCGGCGUGCUUAACACAUGCAAGUCGAACGGAAAGGCCCUGCUUUUGUGGGGUGCUCGAGUGGCGAACGGGGGAGUAACACGUGAGUAACCUGCCCUUGACUUUGGGAUAACUUAAGGAAACUGGGGCUAAUACCGGAUAGGAGCUCCUGCUGCGUGGUGGGGGUUGGAAAGUUUCGGCGGUUGGGGAUGGACUCGCGGCUUAUCAGCUUGUUGGUGGGGUAGGGGCUGACCAAGGCUUUGACGGGUAGCCGGCCUGAGAAGGUGAACGGCCACCUUGGGACUGAGAUACGGCCCAGACUCCUACGGGAGGCAGCAGUGGGGAAUAUUGCACAAUGGGAGGAAGCCUGAUGCAGCAACGCCGCGUGCGGGAUGACGGCCUUCGGGUUGUAAACCGCUUUCGCCUGUGACGAAGCGUGAGUGACGGUAAUGGGUAAAGAAGCACCGGCUAACUACGUG
rnacentral:rRNA from 1 species